rnacentral:misc_RNA from 1 species
GAUGAAGAACGCAGCGAAAUGCGAUACGUAAUGUGAAUUGCAGAAUUCAGUGAAUCAUCGAAUCUUUGAACGCACAUUGCGCCUGCCAGCACUCUGGCAGGCAUGCCUGUUCGAGCGUCAUUUCAACCAUCAAGCCCUAGGCUUGCGUUGGAGCCCUGCGGCAGCCGCAGGCCUCUAAAAGCAGUGGCGGGCUCGCUAUCACACCGAGUGCAGUAGAUUACUCUUCGCUCAGGGCGUGUGGCGGGUUCCAGCCGUGAAACCCCCUACUUCUCAAGGUUGACCUCGGAUCAGGUAGGAAUACCCGCUGAACUUAAGCAUAUCAAUAAGCGGAGGA